GAAGAGAUGCCACAAAGUCACACUGCACAACAAACCACUGCACCUGACUUUUACAACAGAACGGAGAAUUGCUAAGCAGACUACACCAGAGAAGACAUGUGGAGUAGACACUGUGCCCUGCACUGACAUGCCUGCCAUCUAGGCUUUGAGGUGGUAUGCUCUGGCUCCAAUGAGCGUGGGUAACCCUUUUCCUAAGUUACAUUUAACUUCCUAGCUAUGCUGAUGUGCAGUAAUGUGGCUUCUCUCUUGAGAAUUGGUUUUAAUUAAAUUUAAUUAAAUUGGUUUUAAUAUUCUA
rnacentral:lncRNA from 1 species